CCUACGGGAGGCAGCAGUGGGGAAUCUUGCGCAAUGGCCUAACGGCUGACGCAGCGACGCCGCGUGUGGGAUGAAGCUCUUCGGAGUGUAAACCACUGUUGCCCGGGACGAACAGCUCGAUUUCUCGAGCCUGACGGUACCGGGUGAGGAAGCACCGGCUAACUCCGUGCCAGCAGCCGCGGUAAUACGGGGGGUGCGAGCGUUGUCCGGAAUCACUGGGCGUAAAGGGCGCGUAGGUGGUUUGAUAAGGGUGUGGUGAAAGUCCGGGGCUCAACCCCGGAUCUGCCGUGCCGACUGUCAAACUCGAGGACUGUAGAGGCAGACGGAAUUCCGGGUGUAGCGGUGGAAUGCGUAGAGAUCCGGAGGAAGACCGGUGGCGAAGGCGGUCUGCUGGGCAGUUUCUGACACUGAGGCGCGACAGCGUGGGGAGCAAACAGGAUUAGAUACCCUGGUAGUCCACGCCGUAAACGAUGGGUACUAGGUGCUUGGGGGAGCGACCCUCUGGGUGCCGGCGCUAACGCAGGAAGUACCCCGCCUGGGGAGUACGACCGCAAGGUUGAAACUCAAAGGAAUUGACGG
rnacentral:rRNA from 1 species